rnacentral:lncRNA from 1 species
GUUAGGCUGCCGUUGGUCCCGAGACUCCCCCAUCUGCGCCCCCGCCCUGCCCUGCGAGGCCGCCGCCGCGCGCCCCACCGUCUGUUGCAGUGGAGCGUGAGCCGCGGCUGCGGCUCCUGGUUCUUGUGGAAGGACAGCAAGGCUGAGGAGAAUGGCUCCCACAGCUUCAUGCACUCCAUGGACCCACAGCUGGAGCGGCAAAUGGAAACCACCCAGAACCUGGUGGACUCCUACAUGGCCAUUGUCAACAAGACCGUGUGGGACCUCAUGGUUGGUGCGAAGCCCAAGACCACCAUGCAUAUCAUGAUCUACAAUGUGCAUGCACCGCCUCAUGGGGACCAAGGAGUUCAUCUUCUCGGAGCUGCUGUCCAACCUGCGCUCGCGUGGGAACGAGAAGACACUCAUGGAGGAGUCGGCAGAGUAGGCACAGCGGCGCGACGAGAUGCUGCUUCUCAGAGCUGCUGUCCAACCUGCACUCGCUUGGGAACCAGAAGACACUCGUGGAGGAGUCGGCAGAGCAGGCACAGCGGCGCGACGAGACUCGCGUGGGAAGAAAUAGACACUCCUGGAGGAGUCGGCAGAGCAGGCACAGCGGCGCGACGAGACUCGCGUGGGAACGAGAAGACACUCCUGGAGGAGUCGGCAGAGCAGGCAGACCAAGGAGUUCAUCUUCUCGGAGCUGCUGUCCAACCUGCACUCGCGUAGGGACAAGAAGACACUCCUGCAGGAGUCGGCGGAGCAGGCAGACCAAGGAGUUCAUCUUCUCAGAGCUGCUGUCCAACCUGCACUCGCGUGGGAACGAGAAGACACUCCUGGAGGAGUCGGCGGAGCAGGCACAGCGGCGCGACGAGAUGCUGCGCAUGCACCACGUGCUGAAAGAGGCUCUCAGCAUCAUCGGCAACAUCAACACGAACACCGUCAGCACAGCUACGGGGGCCCGUGGACGACGCCUAGCUGCAGCAGCCAAGCCCAGCAAAAGAAUGGCAUACGGGAGUUGCUGCACAAGCCUGGGUGCUCCACGCUGUCAGUGAGGCUCACCUCACAAAGAUCUUUGGAGAGAAGGAGGUGGGGAUCCGAGUGCAGUGAGAGCCUCCCCUGCCCCUGCCUGCCCACCCUGCCUGAGGACUCUACUCACCACCAUGCUUAUCAGCACCCACAAGCUCCUGGGGGGCUGGGGCUCCUGGACCAGGCUCAUCAGCAAGCUUCAGGGCAGUGGCCGGGAAUUUGCUGUGUCCCUCGUUGUAGUCACCACAAGCCGCAACAUCUUCUCCAGCAGCUCCAGCAGCUUCACCUGGAGGGAGGGGUGCUCAGCUGUUAUGCAUCUACCGGCGCCCACCCUCACGCCCACCCCCACCCCUGCAGAGAUGUUGCACACCCUACCUUCAUCUCCUCCAUGUCCUGGGCCAGCCUGAUGAUGUCCUCCUCCAGUUGCCGCAUCUUUGGCACUGCCCCCUGGCUGUGUUCUAGGGUGAUGAACUUUCCUGCAGGAGGACAGGGCUCAGACGCUGAGGUCCCUCCGACGGCCCUGCAGCUCCCCCUGCCGUGCCCUGGCCUCCCACUAACUGAUGACUUCUGUCUUUCCAGUACUGGAUGAAUCGAAGUUCUAGUUUCUCCGCUCGCUCCCUCAGGUCCACCUUCUCCUCCAGGAGGUCCAUAAGGCCACUCUGGAGCCAAAAUAAUGGGGUCACAUCUCGGCAGCAACACCCACCCCUGCCCUUCUUGGCCCAUGCCAGGACUCAGUCACCUCCAGCUUCUCCAUGACCUCCUGCAUGGCCCGGUGGGUCUCCCCACUCACAGACUGGCCCCUAGUCACUGGGGCUGGGACCGCUGCCUCUGGCUUCUGCUGGGCCGAGGCCACCAGGUGAGCCAUGCGCUGGCAGCACACCCUCUGCUCUUUCACCUGCUCUCAUAACCGUGCCUGCUCCUCCUGGGCAUUGGCUCCAGCGGAGUUGAAAAAUGCAACCUGAGGGCAAGAGGUGAGCAUUCUUGUAGGGGCAUACACAGAACGAACGGGGCAGAGAGGUGGAGUGCAGCCUCUUCCCUUGGGGCCUCAGAGAGUGCAUCUGUUGGUCACAGGUGAAAUGGUGUCUGACCACUGGCUCCUGGAAGGGAUGAGGGUCCAGAGAAAUCAGAAGGCAGGGAAACCAAGAGCAUAAAGGGGUCUUGGAGGGACCACAGAGGAAGGUGGCAAAAUGGGUACAGGGGGAGUCAGGCUCACCGUGGCCUCCCAGCUCUCCAGGUCCUCUGGGUUGCUUGGCAUGGGCCGAGGUGCCUCCUCCUCACUGUCCAGAUGUCCUCCUCUAUCUCCUGUGGGGGGUGGCCAGAAGGGUCCUCAGACAGCCCAAUAAGGGAGGUACUGUGGGCCCACCUCUGCCUCCACCCUCACUGUGUAACACUGAGCCAGCCACUACCCAGAGAGCAGCUGCUGUUCUUUAUUUUUACUUUUAAGAACCAAGAUCAGGCAUAGUCCCACUACCAGUCGAUGUGGGAGUUCUGACCCGCUCCCUUUCUGACCUGGGCCAGUUCAGCCAUCCUUAGGCAACUUGGUGGCCCCCCGCUCCCAGGAGGACAUCAUAUUGAUGCCAAACUUAGUGCGGGCACCCGGUCGGCAUAGGGACCAGCUGUUCUAAAGGUCUCUUCCAACCUUUGCCUUUUUCUUUGCUGCGGCCAAUUUGCUCUGUUGAGUUUCUUCUGCCAUUGCGGGGUGGGGAGGGAGGCGGGGUUGGGGCCACGUGAGCAAAAUCCCAGUGAGCACUGAUGAACACCUCCACUUGCCUACCAGGCAGCUGUGUGACUGAGCCCGAGGAGGCACAACUAGGGCCCCCAUAGAAUGCAGAACAGGGGCGUGGCCUUAAUGCUCCAAGCCCAUUGGUCAAUGACAAAGAUGAAAGGGAAAGGGGGUGUGGCCAGGCAGCAGUAUGUCCAGAGGGACCUGUGGCUCACAAGGAAAGCUGUCCAUGCAACUGCUGUCCCCGCCUACUCUGAGGGGAGGGGCCGCCCCCUCUGGGAGAGGGGAGGGGCCGGCUUUUGCUUUAAAAGCUUUAAAACUUUAAAAAAUAUAUGUGUGUAUACUUU